UACGGAGGGUGCAAGCAUUAAUCGGAAUUAUUGGGCGUAAAGGGCGCGUAGGCGGAUUCGUAAGUCAGAUGUGAAAUUCCGAGGCUCAACUUCGGAGCUGCAUCCGAAACUACGAAUCUAGAGGAUAGACGGGGAAAACGGAAUUCCACAUGUAGCGGUGAAAUGCGUGGAUAUGUGGAAGAACACCGGUGGCGAAAGCGGUUUUCUAGUUUAUACCUGACGCUGAGGCGCGAGAGCGAGGGGAGCAAACAGG
rnacentral:misc_RNA from 1 species